UACGGAGGGAGCUAGCGUUGUUCGGAAUUACUGGGCGUAAAGCGCGCGUAGGCGGCUUUGUAAGUUAGAGGUGAAUGCCCGGGGCUCAACCCCGGAAUUGCCUUUAAGACUGCAUCGCUUGAAUCCGGGAGAGGUGAGUGGAAUUCCGAGUGUAGAGGUGAAAUUCGUAGAUAUUCGGAAGAACACCAGUGGCGAAGGCGGCUCACUGGACCGGCAUUGACGCUGAGGUGCGAAAGCGUGGGGAGCAAACAGG
rnacentral:rRNA from 1 species